rnacentral:rRNA from 1 species
CCGAAAGAAAAAGAGUGGCGAACGGGUGAGUAACACGUGGGUAACCUGCCCAUCAGAAGGGGAUAACACUUGGAAACAGGUGCUAAUACCGUAUAACACUAUUUUCCGCAUGGAAGAAAGUUGAAAGGCGCUUUUGCGUCACUGAUGGAUGGACCCGCGGUGCAUUAGCUAGUUGGUGAGGUAACGGCUCACCAAGGCAACGAUGCAUAGCCGACCUGAGAGGGUGAUCGGC